rnacentral:lncRNA from 1 species
GCUUUAAUUUUUCCACUUGCAGAGGCCUGGGGAACAGCUUGGAAUGUUGUUGAUUAGAUGAAUUGUUUUUUAACCUUGCAUCAUGUUCAAAGCCUUAUGAGUAUGUGCUUCUGAAUCUGCAUGCAGCUCUUCUCGAAAUUCAGAAGAAAAGAUCCUUUUAGAAAAAAAAAUAGAAAAAUAAGCCGGGCACAAAAAUUAUCUAGACUGAUGGGCCUAUCUUGCUUCUGCAUCAUGCUUAAAGCCUUCUGAGUUCAUGUCAAAUCAUCCCAAGCAUGUAAUGACAGUACCCUUAUGAGAUUAUGUACCCAUAUUUCCUUUUUGUUUGUGUUUUCGUUACUUUCUGAUGAAAUCUCUUUAAAGGUCUACGAAUCCUUUUUGGCCCACUGCAGCACACAUCUGGUCUUUUCCUCCAAUUAUAUUCAGCUUUACUAGUCUUCCCGGGGAUCUAUAAUUAUGCAUCUCUUCUUUCUUUAGGCAAAGCAG